rnacentral:lncRNA from 1 species
CAUUUUGGGGUUUUUAUUGAGCCAUUGGACUACAGUCCAAGAGUCCCCCUCCACCCAUAGAUCCAAAGUGUGAAGUUCAUGUAUAACAACCUUACAACCCAACUAGGCCGCCACUAUUUCAGCAUGAGAAAUCGGAGAGGGUGGCAAUUUCUUGCCCCCUGCUCUCACAAGUUUCCCAUAAUGAUCCUGGAUAAUGUAAGCUGCAGCAUACUCGUCAGACGAUAUAGAAGCAUCAAAAUUCAGCUUUAGGACACCCAUUAGAGGAGGAAGCCAACCCACCAACUUAAAAACAAAAGACUCCAGACGAGCUGUUCCAAUAGCUCCCCAGUUC